CCAGGAGAGUGGAUGUGCACUCACCCAGUUCUUCCGCUUCUUCUUCUUUGAGUCACUCUCUAUGUUGCUGCCCACGCUGGAGUGGCUGGUGGCACUGUUGAUGCUGGAGACGCUGUCUGAGGAGUGCUGCCUGCGGAUGCGGAGGUCUGCAGACUGGGCAGUGCCGUUUCCUGGAGACCAAGGCAGGGUGUUUCAGCAGCUGCCAACCUGAGCCCUAUUCUUUAUCUCAGGAUUUUGCCCUUUAAGCAAAACCCACCCACCUGAGGACUACUGGGUGUUUUCCACAUAUACAUCAACUCUGAUCCCUACAGCUGUUUCUAAGAUCCUUGAAUAGAUAUAUCAGAGAAGAAGAUGAACUACCAUAGCCAUCUUUGUAGAGGCCAGAAGUGACUUGAUUAAAGGUGUUUGCCUUCCAGUUCCUGCUUGCCUGACAUGGAGCUGAAUUACGCAGACACUGUCUUCUAGCAAGGAGGUUGCAUCAUAUGAUGUCAGGGGAGGGCUCCUAAGGGCAGGCAGGUCUUCUGGCUAAAGGCUGUUUCCCUUACUUUACCUUUGCAGUUGAGCUCAGGUGUGUUAAUUACUCCAUUAAUGGCAGCCUGGGCAGCUGCGUUCUGUUUCUUUAGCAGCUCAAUGGUUUUUCUUAACUCAUUCAGUUCUGAGUCCUAGGGAACAGAAAAAAUUAUUGGUCAGCCUAAAAUCAUUCUGUACAGAGUUCAACUGAAGUACAACUUGGCUUCAACACAGGAGGAGCGGGAAUGAAGUAGCUCAACAAAACCUUUCAGAUGGAUCAACAGGCAUGAACAAACACAUAAAAGUAGGAUUAUAACUACAAGAUCUAUCAUUGAUGCCAUUAUCAAUCUGUCAUAUUUUCACUCAACAGAUUGGACUCCUUACAAUUAAACUUUAACAGUUCAAGAAAUACAUUAACAUCCACACAAUGAUCUGAAAUGAAAGAAUAGUAUUUUCAAGUUUGUUGUUAACUCCAAGUAGGGAGGGUUAAAGUAUCCUUUCUGCCUUACCUUCUGCUCAGCUGUCAUGGUCAGACUCUGGAGCCUGAUUGUCAUGUUACCAAGACUCUGUUCAAAGGCUGCCACAAGGUGAGCCUGGAGGGGAAGACACAACCUCAGUUAUAUUACCUUGCAAGGCAAGAGUGCUUAGAAGGUGUCUGGCUCUUAAAGAUGAAAAUCCUGUGGGUCCAUUGAUCUAGGCUACUUUUUCAGCCUCCUCUUGAAUCCCACUCCCCACCACUCUUUGGGAUCCAGUCACUCCAGUCUUCUACUUGCUCAAACAACCCGUGCUCCUUCCCAUCUUAGGGCCCUUGUACAUCUUUUCCCCUCUACCUGAAAUGUUCUUCCCUCUCAACCCUUUCUCCCAUUCCUUGCCUAAUAAUUUUUACCUGUCUGUGUAAAGAGCUCUCGGCUCGUACUUUCACGACACCCUCAUAUGCACUCUCACAAGCAAACUGUACUUCUGAUAUACACUUUGAGAUAUCAUAGUUAAAAAUACAUGCAGUCUUGUAAUUGGUAAUGUAUGUCUGUCUUCUCUACUACAAUGGAGGAUGAUCUUCUGUUCACCAAGUGCUAAGCUCACAAUAGAGGCUCAUAUUAAGCAUGUUAGUAGAAUGAACAAACAAAAUGGUUGGCGUAGUUUGCUUGUUAUAAUCCUGGUUAAUAAAAAGCCACUGAAAGGCCCA
rnacentral:lncRNA from 1 species